rnacentral:lncRNA from 1 species
AAUAUUUUAGAGUAGUUCUGCCUAAUAAUGCCGAUAAGAUUUUUUAGUUAAGUAAAAAGGUUUUGGAUUUCAUAACUAAUAAGUAAUGUUUUACUAUAUACUUCAUGUGUCCUGAAAGAAAUGACCACAAGAAAAAAAAAAAGAAGAACAAAAAGGCAGUUUGGUUACGUUAAACAAUAUCCUAAAUCGACCUAUCAAAGAGUCGGUAAUUUUCCAACUACCUUACCUUAGUGAUGUGAUGUCUUGUUGUUAACACUCCU